CUCACUCACUGGCUGAGCUCUCUGCCAGCCUCAGCCUUUCUAUUGGCCUCCUGUCAGUACUCCCAUCUCUGUGAGACCCAUGAGUAAUACAUUUUGUCUGCUUCAUGCAUUUUGAUUUUACUUUCUCAUUGUGUCUCAUGUGACACACGCUCUGAACCUAAAUCUCUCAACAGAGCUCUCUUAUGUAGUGCCGAUCUUAGCUUAUGGUUGUCUUCAAGAGAAUGCUCCAUAUAUCCUCAGAAAGUAUGUGCAUUCUAUCAUUUUGGGGUAGUGAGUUCUAUAAGUGUCAUUAGUCAAUUUUGUUGACAGUAUUUUUUUUUCUUUUCUGUAAUACUGAGUUUUUAUUUGUUCUAUUAAUUAUUGAGAGAUGAUAUUCAAAUCUGUAACUAUAAUUGAAGGCUUGCCUAUUUCUUUUAUUUUCUUUUUCUUUUUUUGAGACAGAGUCUCACUCUGUCAUCCAGGCUGGAGUGGAGUAGUGCAAUCCAGCUCACUGCAGCCUUGACCACCGGCCUCAGCAAUCCUCCCACCUCAGCCUCCCAGGUAGCUGGGACUACAGGUGCACACCACCAUGCCUGGCUAAUCUUUUUGAUUUUUUGUGGAGACAGAGUUUUAUCGUGUUGCCCAGGCUAGUCUCCAACUCCUAGGCUCAAGCCAUCUGCUCACUUCAGCCUCCCAAAAUGCUAGGAUUACAGGAGUGAGCCAUUGUACCUGGACUUGCCUAUUCCUUUAAUCAAUUUUUUCAUGAAUCAUGAAACUUUGUUUUUAGAUGCAUGCACAUUCAGGAUUAUAAUAAAUUCUAUAUUUUUAAAAUUAUGCAAUGGUAAUUUUUUUCCUGAUAAUAUUUCGUGGUCUGAUGUCAACUUAAAGCUACAUUUAUUAGUUGCUUCACGGAAGGUCAUCAUCUUCAGUUGAAAUGCCAUACUCAAAGAAGACUUUCCACAAGAUCAUGAAGAAACAUCUAAAAAAGAAUGGCAGCACUCAGACCGUGUGUUUCAAGGUCCACGCUAGCACAGAUUAAUGAACCCUAGAAUUACAUAAUAAAAGAGAGAGAUCCUCAGAGAUACCCUGAUUUUCGUCUUUUAUUUGAUGAGAAAGGAGUUGAAAGCCCAGGUAGUUAAGUGCACUUUCUGACGUCACUCAGCCUGUCUGUAAAAAGGUGUUCCAAAUUAUUGCCUGGUCUCUGUCCUCUCAACAUACAGCUUUUCAAAAGCCAUAUUCUAUGAUUCUCAACAGAUUAGAAAUCUGUUGAGACUUGCCAAAUCUGUAUGACUUGCCAAAAAUAGGAACAGGUGAAAAUAUUCUAAAAAUGCUCUCAUUAAUAAAGUUAAUUAACUAUAAUGCUCUGGACCUUCAGAGUUUUAAAGCUAGAAAACUGCUUUUUAAAAAAAUUUCUGAGCAGUUUCUGCCUUCUGGUUCAUAGAUUGGCAUUUUACUUUAAGGAGGAGAGUCUUUUUGUUCUGCAAAGUCUGGAUUGGUCCCUUUUGGCUGUGACAAUUUAAGGAUGUUAAAUUUGUUAGGAGCCUGAUGCUUAUAAACUAUCAGGGCAUAGGGUAAGUGGACCUCCAGCCCAGUGUUCUUAUUUCCUUUCACAUACUUGGGAGCAAUGAGCUCUUGUAGGGUCAGAGUGAUGGUGACAGUGAUGUCAUCCACUUGUGGUUAAAAGUUGUCGGGACAUGUCUGAGGGCCCUAGAGGAAAGACGCCCUAAGGGAAAGUGGAGUCUGAAUUUGGACUUCCAUCUCAGGCAAGUAGAAACUGGAUCUUUGCACUUCUGUCUUGCUGGUGCCGGACCCCAGGUUUUUCAGCCACCUCUUUGUGGUGUUUGGACAUGUCCCAGAGAAAAUGCUGUAUGCAAGUGUGCUGAAGUCGCCUGUGAGCACCAAACAUGGUGGAACUGAUUCCUGUCGCUUUGCUGUGGGGUGCUCUUGACCGAACAUGAACUUGAAAGGAACAUGAUCUACUGAGUGAACGGUCAGCAUCUGCAGCAGUGGUCAAAGAACAGGGAGGUCUUGUCAGCAAGACCCAUUAGCUGGCCAGACCCUGUCUAAGGAAAACACAGGACAUCAUGGCUCUCCUGGCACCAGAGCCCACAGUCAGCGUCCUGAGAGUGCUAGAAGUGAUUGAGGAAGCCAGCGCUGGGCUUGCUGAGUCAGCAAUGUAGGAGUUCUCCACCAGCCCACUUCACUGAGAGCCUUCAAUUGGU
rnacentral:lncRNA from 10 species